rnacentral:rRNA from 1 species
CCUACGGGGAGCAGCAGUGAGGAAUAUUGGUCAAUGGGCGUAAGCCUGAACCAGCCAAGUCGCGUGAGGGAUGAAGGUUCUAUGGAUCGUAAACCUCUUUUAUAAGGGAAUAAAGUGUGGGACGUGUCCUGUUUUGUAUGUACCUUAUGAAUAAGGAUCGGCUAACUCCGUGCCAGCAGCCGCGGUAAUACGGAGGAUCCGAGCGUUAUCCGGAUUUAUUGGGUUUAAAGGGUGCGUAGGCGGCCUUUUAAGUCAGCGGUGAAAGUCUGUGGCUCAACCAUAGAAUUGACGUUGAAACUGGGAGGCUUGAGUAUGUUUGAGGCAGGCGGAAUGCGUGGUGUAGCGGUGAAAUGCUUAGAUAUCACGCAGAACCCCGAUUGCGAAGGCAGCCUGCCAAGCCAUGACUGACGCUGAUGCACGAAAGCGUGGGGAUCAAACAGGAUUAGAUACCCCAGUAGUC